GUCAGAUGGGGUUGCACGCGUAGGCAGUUAGCGUGUGUGUGUACCAAAAUAGAGAGAAUUUGAGAAAAGGAAAGAUAGAGAGCAAGAGGAGUUUUUUAUUAUUAUUAUUUCUACCACCAGCAGCUGCUGCUGAUCAUUCUUAAAAUUAGGGCCAGAUUGGGUGAACUCACGCCUACCCAAAACCAGAUACAAUCCACUUUCCUUUUUGAGCUGUGGAUUGAGCAACCUCAGCUGGGAUCUGAUCACCUGCGGUGGCUAAAUUGCUGGCGAUGGCAGCCUAUCCUAUGUCUUCGAAGGAUAGACACUGGACAGUGAUUGGAUGAUCAAUCAAGAUUUGGUUAGGUAGGAGUGCUUACGACAUCUUGCAAUCCCUCCAAACACUACAAGAUAACAACAACAGCUUCUUGGAUUCUUGUUCGUAAUUUCAUGCUGUUUGUCACUGGUUAUAAAUCCACAAACAGCCCACCUUCCUGUACUCGAUGCAGCCCGCAUCGACUUUUGCCUGUGUUCGGGACUGGAAUAUAGUGGAUUUAUGUGGCGUAUUGAAGGCGCUCCGCAUUCAUUGACAACAAGUAUCCAAAUCAUUGUGUUGGUGAUUUUAUUACUGUCCUUCUGUUCCCAAUCAAAUGAUACUUACAAAGCCCCACCAAGUGAAGGAAGAAAAGAAAAUGCAAGAAAACUUCCUGUACAAAAUAAAUAUGAGUUCAACAAAAAAAAGAA